UACGGAGGGAGCUAGCGUUGUUCGGAAAUACUGGGCGUAAAGCGCACGUAGGCGGCGCCGUAAGUCAGGGGUGAAAUCCCGGGGCUCAACCCCGGAACUGCCCUUGAAACUGCAGUGCUAGAAUCUUGGAGAGGUCAGUGGAAUUCCGAGUGUAGAGGUGAAAUUCGUAGAUAUUCGGAAGAACACCAGUGGCGAAGGCGACUGACUGGACAAGUAUUGACGCUGAGGCACGAAAGCGUGGGGAGCAAACAGG
rnacentral:rRNA from 1 species